GUAGAAAAUGUCUUAAAUUUAUAUAUUAUAACAUGCGCCCAUAUAUUAGUACAGGCCAUAUAUAGUAUUAUCAGCUUAAUAAAGUAAACGCACAAACUAUACAUCGUUCGUCGAAAAAAUUAAGGCACACUGCUACCUCUUUGCACGGUACCGCGAAGAGUAUAGUUAUCGCUGUCCAGCCGACUUUUUAGAUCAAACUCGUACCUUAUAAUGAAUUAGGGUUUCUUUUUUUCUGGCUAUAUAUGCGGUGCGAUAACUUUUGUUACGGGCGAAGAGGGUAUAAUAUUGUAUAGUCGUGGCGUUUAUAGAAAGACCGUUGCUACUGAAUCCGUCUCGUAUCUUAAUUUCACACGGCCCGCGGCAGCGGAGAUUUAGAAACACGCAACAACAGUCUCUUAUUUAAUAAUAAUAUAGACAAAGCAGUGACGAAGAAUGCCUGUGUAUAUACACAAAAAGAACCCCCCCGAGAACGACGUGGCCGUUGUUGGCAAACAGAGUCCGUAACUGACCUCUGGGCGUCCAGGUGCAACGCCACUUGCAGGGGGCCUCAUUGUUCGGUCCUCGUCGUGAGUGUACCUACCUACAUUAAUUAUUAAACGUGCGCACGCCGCGUAAAACAAUGGACAACCGGAUUUUAGGACCACGCCGGGCGAUAUUUACCCAACAAAGGGGGUUAUCUUGUCCGUCAGUCGUCGCUGGGACAGAGCCGUCGUCGCAUCGGAUCGGGUUGAUGGUGGACAAGAGAAUAUUUCAAAAGGCUCUAGGCGUCGCAGUUCACGAAAUAGAGGUUAAAAUCGGAAGCCAACAUUCGAAAUUGAUUCGCUUGGGUUUUUAUUUACACUCGAUGAAGACGCAUUCAUUUUUUGGAGUCACUACAAAUACAAUACAAUAUUGUCCGGAAAAAUAACAUAACUGAAUCGAAACAAUUUAUUCCGAUAUGUUUAGUUCGGUUAAAAUGGGAAAAUGUUUUAAUUAAAACACAGUUCAACGUUCAACGAGUAAAAGUUUGUUUCUCGUGGAAAUUUGCUAUGUAUAAUAAGUAUGUAUAAAAUAAGUACUAUGUAUUUUUGUUUGGAAAUAUAUUUUACUUUUUCGUUCAA